UUCUGUUCAAGAUCCAAACAUUCUUCCCUUUUUUUUCUUUGACCUUUGGCGGUAGUUUGGAGUUGGGAUAGAGGUAGAAUCGAUGGGUCGAAUGGGAUGGAGGGAGUCAACGUGGUAGUCAACUCUAAGAAACUGAGGAGAGGCCGCUUUGGAAUUUGUGAGGAAGGUAGGCAAAUUUUUGUGAGUCUGCUUAAUAUGAAGACGCCUUUCACAACCACGGAGUCAUUGGACAUGGUGAAAGUCAUUUAUAAUAUUAUUGAAAAGCUUGAAUGAUCGAUUAAGGUUCUUGAUCAGUCUAAACCUUUUAAUUAUUUUAGUUAUGAGUCCUCAGCCCUCAAAUUUUGAUUUUCCCUUAAUUAAAUCCAUUUACGAUCAAAAUUUUCCCUUUGAAGAUUGCAUACCCCAAAUCAACUGACCACUAUUUUUCAUUAGAAAAAUAAACGUUGUUCUCAAGCAAGCCUUGAGUGUUUUAACGUUAAAUAAUUUCUGUUGGAUUUUUUUUAGAUGUAGGAGAUAUUUUUGUUUCUAUUAUAUGUGAUAUUAUGAUAAAUAAUACUAAUUAAUUAAAUAAUAUACAUGUUUUUUUGAGUGUAUAUCACUUUGCAAAUUAGCAAUAAAAUUUCUUUGGAAUUUUUUCAUAAUCUGUUUCAUAUAGCUUGGUGAGUAAAUUUUGAUUCAUUAGUACAUUAAGAAAUGAAGAAGAUGAUGGUUUGAUAGGUCAAAUUUCUUUAUCUAUGUUCUGGGUUUCUAGAUAAACUAUCCAGUUUUUGAUUAUUUUAGUUUUUUAAUGUUGGAUUGGUAUUUUGACAUGUGUUGAGGAGUGAAAUGAUAUGGACUGCCAGAUGGACAAACCAUAUCAGCAAGAUUGCAACGUGGACAAACCUAAUCAGCAUGUCCAGCAAGGCAUUCUAGAAGGUGAAAGAAACAGAAAAUUGCACAGAGAAUAUACCAUAGAUGCCGGUUGAGGAAGUGUGUAGAAUAUGUAAAUUCUUUCUCUCUCCAAUUUUGUUAGGGAGCUUGUUUUUUUUUUUUUUUUUGAUAACCCAGGUGUCCCAGCUUAGUCGGACUAAAUCCUGGACCUCUAGCCCCCGGCCCCUCAGUGACUAGUGGAGGUAAAUCGCAGGUUGUGCCCUUGUUGGUUCCCAAGUUCCCACAUGGCUUUUACUCCUUCCCCAAAAGGACCCUCCUCCAUGGUUAUUACAUCACCAAGCUGCUCCAACCCUUCCUCUGGUUAUUACAUCACUUGGCUGCUCCAACCAGGAAUCGAACUCCCCACACUUGAUUCCAAAGCCCCCCCAAUGUGAUUGUUCUGUCAACUUAAAUGUGCCCUGGGGGGCUUGUUAGGGAGCUUGUUGAGCACAUUUUGUGUUGUAUAUAUAUACUGUGACUGUAAACAUUUUUCUCUCAAGAAGAAUAAAAAAACUUCUUCCACAUUUUCCUUCAAUCAUCUUCUUCCUUAAGUACCAUUUUGUGAUAUGGUAUCAGAGCAAGGUUAACAAUGGCGGAUGAACACUGCACAAAGGUUCAAUCUACUGCACAUGAAUACCCGAUUCCAAAUCCUCAAUCUGCAAGACUUGAGGAUUCUAAUCAAAAUUCUCAGCAAAAUCAAAAUGCCCACUCCACACCAAACUUUCAUGAUCCCACUCAUCUCUACAGCCCAUACUAUAUUGGAGGAAAUGAUAGCUCAGGCACCAUACUAGUCAGUCGCGUAUUGGACAGUACUAAAUAUUAUCCCUGGGCAAGGUCAAUAAAAAGAGCACUUAGAAUUAAAAACAAGCUUGGAUUUAAUGAUGGAAGCUUGGCAAAACCAAUAAACCCCAACAAUUUCCUAAUGGACCAUUGGCUUCCCUGCGAUGAUCUUGUAAUCGCUUGGCUGCAAAACACUAUGUCUAUUGAGGUAAAAUCCAGUACCCUCUAUGCAGACACUGCUAGAGAGCUUUGGCUGGAGAUUGAACACCUGUUGGGACAGCAGAAUGCUCCACAAAUCUAUGAGGUAAAACAAGCCAUUAGUACUUUGAUACAAAAUCAAGAUGUUGUGAGUGUUUAUUUUUCGAAAUAUAAAACUCUUCUUGAUGAGUUGAUGAAUUAUGAACCCAUACCCAACUGUACCUGUGGAGGACUUGGCACUGUAAUUGACAAUCAGCAAAGAGAUUGGGUGAUGCGAUUCCUCAUGGUACUUAAUGAAUCCUACAAAGACAUGAAAGCCCAAAUUCUUCUCAUUAAACCUCUUCCAGGACUGAAUGAAGUAUAUUCUAUCAUACAACAAGAAGAAAAGAAGAGACCAAUUCCAAUGGACUCGCCUAUUACUGAAUCAAUGGCAAUGAUGGGAAGAGGAACUCGAAAUGGGAUUCAAUACAUAGCUAACGGAGGUGCCAAAUAUUUUUGCACUCACUGUAAGAUUGUCGGCCAUUCUUUGGAAAGAUGCCUUAAGGCCAACAAGCCAAUGUGCUCCUAUUGUAAUUUGCCUGGUCAUAGCAUAGAUAAGUGCUUCAAAAUUCAUGGGUAUCCACCAAGUCACAAGCUCUAAAACAAGGGAAAAUCUGCAACUAAUUAAGUAACUAUGCAGGAACAAAAGCGAACUGAAAUUCCUGGUAGAAAUCAAUCUCCCAUCACACGAGCAAUACAAUCAACUGAUAGCACUUCUUAAUAAACAGAACAUUUCAACCCCAACUCAUCUACAAAUCAAGUUCGAUCUAACAUCAGUCCUUGCACCACUGAGGUUCAAAUGCCCACUGUAUCUGGUACAUCUUUAUGCCUUUUUACUUGUGCAUCGAAAAUCCCAGCAAACACACCUUGGAUUCUAGACACAGGUGCCACAGAUCACAUGAUCUGUGACGUUUCCCUAUUUACUAAGAUUAUGGCAUGGGUCACCUAUUAUGUUUCACUUCCUAAUGACAAUAGAGUCGCUGUCACUCAUAUAGGGACAAUAAGAAUUUUAGAAACGCUAGUUUUACAUGAUGUACUCUGUGUUCCAUCUUUCUCCUUCAACUUAAUUUCACCUAGAAAAUUAACUUCUUCUUUGAACUACUGUCUCUUUUUUUUUUUGUCUCAAAUGUGCUUCAUUCAGGACCUUUUGACCCGGAGAACGAUUGGAAUGGGUGAGAUGAGACAUGACUUGUAUCAACUGCAGCAAAAAGAAAUUUCACCAUCAGCCUUUCUCGAAACUAUAACUAUGAAAACAGCUGCUGCCAUGCAAACUGAAGAAUUUGAUCUCUGGCACUAUAUAUUAGGGCAUCCUUCAUCUACAACUUUUGAGUUCUUAGGUAGCAACAAAACUUCCAAACCCUGCAUGAUAUGUCCUCUAGCCAAAAUGCAUAAGUUACCUUUCCCAGUUAGUCAGCAUCGAUCAAAAAAUUGCUUUGAUUUAGUUCAUUGUGAUCUUUGGGGACCAUGUAAUAAGGUUGUUUAUGAUGGCUCAAGAUACUUCUUAACGAUAGUUGAAGACUACUGCAAAUGUACUUGGAUUUAUACUUUGUAAAACAAAUUUGAAGCUGGCAUUGUUUUACAAAGUUUUUGUAACAUGAUUGAAAACCAAUUUGAAACCAAAAUAAAGAUAAUUAGAAGUGAAAAUGGUGGAGAAUUCAAUAUGAAAACCUUUUUCCAUGAGAAAGGAAUUGUGCAUCA
rnacentral:lncRNA from 1 species